GUAAGGAAUAUUGCACAAUGGGCGCAAGCCUGAUGCAGCGACGCCGCGUGGGUGAAGAAGGUUUUCGGAUCGUAAAGCCCUUUUCUGCGUGACGAGGAAGGACGGUAGCGCAGGAAUAAGUCUCGGCUAACUACGUGCCAGCAGCCGCGGUAAAACGUAGGAGGCGAGCGUUAUCCGGAAUUACUGGGCGUAAAGCGCGUGUAGGCGGAUUACCAAGUCAUUUGUGAAAGCUCUCGGCUAAACUGGGAGAGGUCGAAUGAGACUGGCAGUCUAGAGAGCAGGAGAGGGGUGCGGAAUUCCGGGUGUAGUGGUGAAAUGCGUAGAUAUCCGGAGGAACACCAGUGGCGAAGGCGGCGCCCUGGCCUGCAACUGACGCUAAGACGCGAAAGCAUGGGGAGCGAACGGGAUUAGAAACCCCUGUAGUCC
rnacentral:rRNA from 1 species